rnacentral:rRNA from 1 species
GAAAUGCGAUAAGUAGUGUGAAUUGCAGAAUUCAGUGAAUCAUCGAAUCUUUGAACGCAACUUGCGCUUCUUGGCAUCCCCAAGAAGCAUGCCUGUUUGAUAAUCAUCUAAGUCUUAUCUUUUGAUAAAUAAACGUGAAUGUUUCUCUCAAUGCUACUUGUAGCAAGUCGAGUCAUUUUAAAUAUACGUCUAGGGUGUGUCCUGUGCAACAUUCCACUUGGGGCAUCGUAAUAAUAUUUGUUUAUUUUACUCUGCAACGGGUUAUUAAUGUGAUUGAAGCAUAGUGUAAUCUCCCAUUGAACUCGUUUCUCGGAACAGUUUUUGCUUAUGGUUAUACAAAUCAGGUAGGGCUACCCGCUGAACUUAAGCAUAUUAAUAAGCGGAGGAAAAGAAACUAACAAGGAUUCCCCUAGUAACCUGAA